rnacentral:tRNA from 1 species
AGGAUAAUAGUUAAAUUAACAUUUAAGUUGCAUUUAAAAAAUACUGUUUAUCAGUUUAUCUU